GCAGUGGGGAAUAUUGGACAAUGGGCGAAAGCCUGAUCCAGCCAUGCCGCGUGUGUGAAGAAGGUCUUCGGAUUGUAAAGCACUUUAAGUUGGGAGGAAGGGUUGUAGAUUAAUACUCUGCAAUUUUGACGUUACCGACAGAAUAAGCACCGGCUAACUCUGUGCCAGCAGCCGCGGUAAUACAGAGGGUGCAAGCGUUAAUCGGAAUUACUGGGCGUAAAGCGCGCGUAGGUGGUUUGUUAAGUUGGAUGUGAAAUCCCCGGGCUCAACCUGGGAACUGCAUUCAAAACUGACUGACUAGAGUAUGGUAGAGGGUGGUGGAAUUUCCUGUGUAGCGGUGAAAUGCGUAGAUAUAGGAAGGAACACCAGUGGCGAAGGCGACCACCUGGACUAAUACUGACACUGAGGUGCGAAAGCGUGGGGAGCAAACAGGAUUAGA
rnacentral:rRNA from 1 species